rnacentral:sRNA from 1 species
UGACUUCUGCCAUUUUGACGGGCCUGUC